CCUACGGGGGGCAGCAGUGGGGAAUAUUGGGCAAUGGGCGCAAGCCUGACCCAGCAAUGCCGCGUGAAGGAAGCAGGUCUUCGGAUUGUAAACUUCUUUAGACAGGGACGAUAAUGACUGUACCUGUAGAAUAAGCCACGGCUAACUACGUGCCAGCAGCCGCGGUAAUACGUAGGUGGCAAGCGUUAUCCGGAUUUACUGGGUGUAAAGGGCGUGUAGGCGGUACGUCAAGUCAAAUGUGAAAUCUUCCGGCUUAACCGGGAGCGUGCAUCUGAAACUGGCGCACUUGAGUACUGGAGGGGAAAGCGGAAUUCCUAGUGUAGCGGUAAAAUGCGUAGAUAUUAGGAGGAACACCGGUGGCGAAGGCGGCUUUCUGGACAGUAACUGACGCUGAGGCGCGAAAGCGUGGGGAGCAAACAGGAUUAGAUACCCCAGUAGUC
rnacentral:rRNA from 1 species